GAGGAGCUUGCUCUUCUUGGAUGAGUUGCGAACGGGUGAGUAACGCGUAGGUAACCUGCCUUGUAGCGGGGGAUAACUAUUGGAAACGAUAGCUAAUACCGCAUAACAAUGGAUGACACAUGUCAUUUAUUUGAAAGGGGCAAUUGCUCCACUACAAGAUGGACCUGCGUUGUAUUAGCUAGUAGGUGAGGUAAUGGCUCACCUAGGCGACGAUACAUAGCCGACCUGAGAGGGUGAUCGGCCACACUGGGACUGAGACACGGCCCAGACUCCUACGGGAGGCAGCAGUAGGGAAUCUUCGGCAAUGGGGGCAACCCUGACCGAGCAACGCCGCGUGAGUGAAGAAGGUUUUCGGAUCGUAAAGCUCUGUUGUAAGUCAAGAACGGGUGUGAGAGUGGAAAGUUCACACUGUGACGGUAGCUUACCAGAAAGGGACGGCUAACUACGUGCCAGCAGCCGCGGUAAUACGUAGGUCCCGAGCGUUGUCCGGAUUUAUUGGGCGUAAAGCGAGCGCAGGCGGUUUGAUAAGUCUGAAGUUAAAGGCUGUGGCUCAACCAUAGUUCGCUUUGGAAACUGUCAAACUUGAGUGCAGAAGGGGAGAGUGGAAUUCCAUGUGUAGCGGUGAAAUGCGUAGAUAUAUGGAGGAACACCGGUGGCGAAAGCGGCUCUCUGGUCUGUAACUGACGCUGAGGCUCGAAAGCGUGGGGAGCGAACAGGAUUAGAUACCCUGGUAGUCCACGCCGUAAACGAUGAGUGCUAGGUGUUGGAUCCUUUCCGGGAUUCAGUGCCGCAGCUAACGCAUUAAGCACUCCGCCUGGGGAGUACGACCGCAAGGUUGAAACUCAAAGGAAUUGACGGGGGCCCGCACAAGCGGUGGAGCAUGUGGUUUAAUUCGAAGCAACGCGAAGAACCUUACCAGGUCUUGACAUCCCGAUGCUAUUUCUAGAGAUAGAAAGUUACUUCGGUACAUCGGUGACAGGUGGUGCAUGGUUGUCGUCAGCUCGUGUCGUGAGAUGUUGGGUUAAGUCCCGCAACGAGCGCAACCCCUAUUGUUAGUUGCCAUCAUUCAGUUGGGCACUCUAGCGAGACUGCCGGUAAUAAACCGGAGGAAGGUGGGGAUGACGUCAAAUCAUCAUGCCCCUUAUGACCUGGGCUACACACGUGCUACAAUGGUUGGUACAACGAGUUGCGAGUCGGUGACGGCGAGCUAAUCUCUUAAAGCCAAUCUCAGUUCGGAUUGUAGGCUGCAACUCGCCUACAUGAAGUCGGAAUCGCUAGUAAUCGCGGAUCAGCACGCCGCGGUGAAUACGUUCCCGGGCCUUGUACACACCGCCCGUCACACCACGAGAGUUUGUAACACCCGAAGUCGGUGAGGUA
rnacentral:rRNA from 1 species